AAAUCAGAUUGCAAUUACAGUGCUUCAUUUUGUGGAAGUACUGUCAUUAUCCUACUGAAGGAAAAUUUUGUGUUAAUCAUUUUUGGUUUUGCCUUCUGGAGGGUAAAAUCAUGAUGGACUGACAUGGACAAUU